rnacentral:tRNA from 2 species
GCGGAUGUGGCGGAAUGGCAGACGCGCAUGGCUCAGGACCAUGUGGGCUUCGGCCCUUGAAGGUUCAAGUCCUUUCAUCCGCACCA